rnacentral:rRNA from 1 species
AGAGUUUGAUCAUGGCUCAGGAUAAACGCUGGCGGCGUGCCUAACACAUGCAAGUCGAACGAUCCCGCAAGGGAGAGUGGCGGAAGGGUGAGUAACACGUGGGAAUCUACCUCCUCGCAGGGAACAACCUCUCGAAAGAGAGGCUAAUACCCAAAAGGGUCAGAAAUGAUCAGAGUCGAAAGGCGUGAGGAGAGGAGCCCGCGGCCCAUCAGCUAGUUGGUGAGGUAAUGGCUUACCAAGGCUACGACGGGUAGGGGAUCUGAGAGGAUGUCCCCCACACUGGAACUGAAACACGGUCCAGACGCCUACGGGUGGCAGCAGUGAGGAAUAUUGGACAAUGGGCGAAAGCCCGAUCCAGCAACGCCGCGUGGAGGAUGAAGGCCUUCGGGUCGUAAACUUCUUUAGAGGGAGACGAGAAAGGACGGUACCCCUAGAAUAAGCGACGGCAAACUACGUG